GAGGAGGAAGAGGAAGAGGAGAGGGGGUCCGGCGCUUCCGCGAGCACCUUUGGGACCAGGAGCACCAACAGCACCCUGUGGGGGAGGAAGAGGAGGAAGAGGAGGAGACACGGGCACCCACCUUGGGACCAGCGAUGCCAUCAGCGCCAGGGAAACCGCGGCUGCCGGGAGCACCCUGCG